UACGUAGGCAGCGAGCGUUGUUCGGAGUUACUGGGCGUAAAGCGUGCGUAGGCGGUCUUGUAAGUCUGGUGUGAAAUCUCCCGGCUCAACUGGGAGGGUGCGCCGGAAACUGCAAGGCUGGAGUAUGGGAGAGGUAGGCGGAAUUCCUGGUGUAGCGGUGAAAUGCGUAGAUAUCAGGAGGAACACCUGCGGUGUAGACAGCUUACUGGACCACUUCUGACGCUGAGACACGAAAGCGUGGGUAGCAAACAGG
rnacentral:rRNA from 1 species